GAACUCUCUGCUCACUUACAAAACAUCCUCUGCUUGCUUUUGGAACAAAAAUGCAGCGUUGCCUGGCAAUCUCUCAGCCAAUAAAAUGAAAGUGUUGAACUGGGUGCGUUUGUUGCCUUCUAGUGUGUGAG